CGGACGGGUGAGUAACACGUGGGUAACCUGCCCAUAAGACUGGGAUAACUCCGGGAAACCGGGGCUAAUACCGGAUAACAUUUUGAACCGCAUGGUUCGAAAUUGAAAGGCGGCUUCGGCUGUCAUUAUGGAUGGACCCGCGUCGCAUUAGCUAGUUGGUGAGGUAACGGCUCACCAAGGCAACGAUGCGUAGCCGACCUGAGAGGGUGAUCGGCCACACUGGGACUGAGACACGGCCCAGACUCCUACGGGAGGCAGCAGCG
rnacentral:rRNA from 1 species